rnacentral:ncRNA from 1 species
AUGAUAGAGGCGCGGUUUAAGCAUCAGUAAUCGGAAGCAGCGGGCAGACACCCGCCCGAUGAAAGGGCCUACCGCCGAAGGUGAAUAUAUCCUGUCUGGGACUGUUCGCCUGGGCCGGGGGAUAACAUCUCACGGACUGUCACAUUAAUUGUGGAGAGCUAUCA